rnacentral:rRNA from 1 species
CCUACGGGAGGCAGCAGUGAGGAAUAUUGGUCAAUGGGCGCGAGCCUGAACCAGCCAAGUAGCGUGAAGGAUGACUGCCCUAUGGGUUGUAAACUUCUUUUAUAAAGGAAUAAAGUGAGGCACGCGUGCCUUUUUGUAGGUACUUUACGAAUAAGGAUCGGCUAACUCCGUGCCAGCAGCCGCGGUAAUACGGAGGAUCCGAGCGUUAUCCGGAUUUAUUGGGUUUAAAGGGAGCGUAGAUGGGUUGUUAAGUUAGUUGUGAAAGUUUGCGGCUCAACCGUAAAAUUGCAAUUGAUACUGGCAGUCUUGAGUGCAGUUGAGGUAGGCGGAAUGCGUGGUGUAGCGGUGAAAUGCUUAGAUAUCACGAAGAACUCCGAUUGCGAAGGCAGCUUACUAAGCUGCCACUGACAUUGAUGCACGAAAGUGUGGGGAUCAAACAGGAUUAGAUACCCCGGUAGUC